rnacentral:tRNA from 1 species
CAUAUUAAAGUUUUAUAGAAUUUUUCUGUUACAAUGAAAGGGUCUCAUUAUUUGGGUGAUAUGAUGU